CCGUGCUAGGCGGGGAACUAGCGGUGCCCUGUACCUGCAAUCCGCUUCAGCAGGGCUGAAUUCCCACCCGAGGCCAGCGUUCGCGAAGGCCGGCGGAGAGAUUGGUGCUGAGGAUCGGGUCCCGCGCAGCGGCGACGCGUGAACCUCGUCAGGUCCGGAAGGAAGCAGCGAUAAACGCUGUUCGCCGGGUGCCGCGGACAGGCCUGGUCUGAGCCGAUCUCCUCGUUGGGCACGUGAGCGUCACCGGUCGACGGCGGGUGCACGG
rnacentral:SRP_RNA from 1 species